rnacentral:tRNA from 1 species
GGUUCGAAUCCACNAAGAGGUUAAGACACCGCCCUUUCACGGCGGUAACAGGGGUUCAAUUCCCCUACGAGUCACCA